rnacentral:lncRNA from 1 species
CACCACAGCCGCAGCCUCUUCUUCCUCCCCUACUCUGUUUCCUCUCCUUCUCUUCCAGCUGCAGCUGCCAUUGCCGUAGCUGCCUCCCAUUCUCCUCUUCCUCUCUUCUUCCCUUUUCCUUUCUCUUCUUCUUCCUUUCCUUCUCUUCUUUCCCAGCUGCAUUGCCGCUGCCUCUUCUUCCUCCCUUGCUCAUCUUCCUCUCCUUCUUCUCUUCCAACUGCAGCUGCCAUCGCCACAGCCGCAGCCCCUUCUUCCCCUUCUCUUCUUCCUCUCCUUCCCUUCUUCCUUCCUCUUCCUCUUUCCCUGCCAUAGCUGUAGCUGCCACAGCUGCAGCCACAGCUGCUUCUUUCCCUUCUCCUCUUCCUUCUCCUUCCUUUCUUCUU